CCCUUAGAUGUUCUGGGCAGCACGCGCGCUACAAUGGUCUUCGCAAACGGAUGCAUUCUCGAUGGUGAAUGCCAAUCUUGGAAUCUAUGCCUUGGUCGGGACAGUUGCUUGCAAUUUUUCGACUCGAACCAGGAAUUCCUUGUAAUCGUGAUUCAUCACAUCACGAUGAAUACGUCCCUGCCCUUUGUACGCACCGCCCGUCGCUCCUACCGAUCGAAGAGUUAGGUGAAUUGUUUUGAUCGAUAAGAUUUGACUAUGGUCAACUCUCGUUGUGAAAUUCUGUGAAUCUGACUGUUUAGAGGAAGGAAAAGUCGUAACA
rnacentral:rRNA from 1 species